CCUGAGCCGUGGGCUUUCGGAGCUAACGCGUUUAAGUAGACCGCCUGGGGGAGUACGGUCCACAAGAUUAAAACUCAAAUGAAUUGACGGGGGCCCGCACAAGCGGUGGAGCAUGUGGUUUUAUUCGAUGCAACGCGAAGAACCUUACCUACUCUUGACAUCCAAAGAACUUUCCAGAGAUGGAUUGGUGCCUUCGGGAACUCUGAGACAGGUGCUGCAUGGCUGUCGUCAGCUCGUGUUGUGAAAUGCUGGGUUAAGUCCCGCAACGAGCGCAACCCUUAUCCUUGUUUGCCAGCGAGUAAUGUCGGGAACUUCAGGGAGACUGCCGGUGAUAAACCGGAGGAAGGUGGGGACGACGUCAAGUCAUCAUGGCCCUUACGAGUAGGGCUACACACGUGCUACAAUGGCGCAUACAGAGGGCAGCCAACUUGCGAAAGUGAGCGAAUCCCAAAAAUUGCGUCGUAGUCCGGAUUGGAGUCUGCAACUCGACCCCAUGAAGUCGGAAUCGCUAGUAAUCGUGGAUCAGAAUGCCACGGUGAAUACGUUCCCGGGCCUUGUAUACCCCCCCCCCGUCAAAAAGGCUAUUGGGUGCAAGU
rnacentral:rRNA from 1 species